GGAGCUACAGCUGAGGCUGAAGAGGUGGAUAGACUGGAAGAGAUUGCAGGUUGUUCACAUCCUGAGAAUCCAGAGCAUACAGAGCUGCAGUCCCUGUCUGAGCCUGUAACCAUGGAGACAAGUGAAAAGUCCGGCACAGCAAACAUAAUUGACUGUGAAAUGGAAGUCCUGGAGACUGAGUUACCGGAUAGCAAGGACACAGGAAACAAAGAUGAACAUAGACCAAGGCUGAUGAUCUGGAAGAAGUUUGCAGUCCGAAAGAGGCGCUUGUCUUGGAGGACACUCGAGAAGAACUUUAUCGUAAUGAGUCAAUUACUUCUUCAAUGUCCGACACUCCGUCAAGUGCUGAGAGCGUGUAUGAGAAUGAAGCCAUGCAUAAGAGGCAGGAUUCACUAAGACAGGAACCAUUGGAGAACAUUGCACCCCAACCAGAUGUUGAUGAUGGAGAUCUGUUAGACUCAUUGGGUAUAGACUUACAAGAAGCCAUAUUAGAAAGUUUUGGAUGUGAGGAUCCAGAAGAAACCAUCCUUGCGCACUACAUCCGAGAGGAUGUUCUGUCAGAUGUCUCCACAGAGUCUUGCCGUGACCCAGAUGAAUUAGAAGAGUGUCUUCAGGUCGAAAUUGCUGCGCCGUCAUCAGACAGUGAAACGGAGACAGAGAAAUGGAGGAGCAUCUUUUCUUCCUCAAUAAAUAAGGAAGAUGAUGAUGACUACAUUGACAGCCUUGAGCUUAGUGCACAAGAGCUCUUUAUUCAAAAACCUGCACUAGAGAAUUCUGAGGACGUUUUAAAGGAAUCUGAAGAGCUGGAGGUUCCGGUGGGAGAAGUAGUGCUAGAACAACCAGAGAAUGAGACAGUUUUACAACCGCAAGAAAUCUCUUACGGUCCUUCCACACUGUUUCACGGCUUGUCCAAGAUUUCCGAAGACGAUGAGGAGCUUGGACGAGGCUCAGCAACCCACAAGAGCAAUUCAUUUGAUUCUGUCAAAUCCGAUUCCAGCAAAAAGGUGCCGAAAGAUUAUUGUGUGAUUCAGGAAAUGAAAAGCGAGAACGUCAGCACAGAACAUGUGGAUUUCAAAGUUGCUCGCCAACAGUGGCUAGAGAUCGAAGAGCAAACGAAAAAUUUGACGAACCAUCCAAGCACACCAACAACUCGAUCUGGCACCUGCCAAGGUAGUCACAGUUUCAUGUAUACGCCAGUCCGCAACAUCGAAAGGCCCAAGAAGGACCUUGAGAGCUUGUCGCUUUUAGAGGAUUACACGAACACCCAGUUCAGCCCUUGCUCUGAGGAUUCAGGUCUGGAUGACUCUAGUUAUAGAUCACCGUUUGAUGAAUCAGAGACCCCAAUUGAGAAGGAGAUUCGCCUAACCAUGGAGCGUGAGGAGAAGCUGAGGCGUGAGAGGGGAAUGUCAAAAUCAUACUCCAGUGACUGUGUACAGAUGAGGGUGAGAACUGCCAACUUAAAUUCUGGAAAACUAUGCCAAGAAGUCGAAGAGAAAAGGAAGAUGUUUGAAGACCAGGAUGAUGACGAAAGGUUAUCCAAGUAUCUCAGCAACAAGAUGCCUUCUUUCAUCAUUACCUCCUCACCAACCAAGAAACAAGACUUGAGCGCCAACAAUGUUAUCAUUCUUGAGCCAGAACCUUUCCCUCCAAGUCCACGGCAUGGAAAGAUGGUGUCCUCCAAAUCUGCUGACUGGAGACCUGAAGACACCCCUAAUGUCAUAAUUUUGGAGACAUCAAACCUCAUCAUUCGAAGUGCAUCAGAGUUCAACUUGAAUUCUGUCUCUGAGGAAACCCAGGAGAAGAUGUUCCUCAACAACCCGUUUUUCAAGCUGCGGUCCAGGAGUACACUAUCUCUAGUUGAUGAGGAGAUUAAGAUGGUGAAGCAGCGAGAAGAGGAACUCAAGCGUCAAAGAGCCACUCUUUACUCUAAGGAUCACUUCCUGAUGUCUCCAAACCGUUUGGACAGCUCAUUGUUUACAGAUGAUGUGCCAAUUAAAUGUAAAUCAUCCCCUUCAUCUCCAAUGAAAACAUGCAGAAUGGAUAGUUCAGCUUUGUCAUAUGAUCUUCAAUUUCCUGAACCCUACACUGGAGGCCGACGUAAAAGUGCCAUGGCACUGCGCUGGGAAGCAGGGGAGUUUGCGAACAAUGAGUAAAAAUGGACACUGAUCAUUUUGCAGCUGUUUUACGUAAGAAAAUGUUCAAUGCUUACACUCAUCUGUUAAUUGUGACAGCAUAUACACUUGCUACUGCUGCUUGUGUGACUUUGUUAUUGAUCCAGAAAAAAAAUUGCAUAUGCCAAGAUGCCUAAAUGUUAUUUGAAUGUACCGUUUCAUGCAUAUUCGGGAUUCCUCUUUGACGAGGUAUCUGGAGACUUAUAAACCAUAUUUUUAGUGUUUUGUCUACGAAGGAGAAUAUGUACCGUAUAUUCAUAUUGUAUUUUCUUGUUAUGAAAUGUUUGUAUAUCCCUAAACUAUAUGGAAAUAUGAAGCAGUAUUACAGGGUUUUAGGAUAAAAUUUAAGUGAAGAUUUAUACAAAAUCGAUGCAUUUUGCUAAAGAUUACUGAAAACAGAUCAAUUUAGUAUCUUUUGACAAAGGAAUAUUCUUUUUUUUUUUUUUUUUGAAUUGAUCUGAAUUUGAACUUGUUCAUAAUACAGGACUACAUUUCAGUACUUAUUUCUUAAACUCAUUAUGAAAAGCUUAAAUUUAUUUAGUAAUUAUAUUUUAUCUUAGAAAAUAAUCUAUUUAAAAAUGACCUGUUUGGUGUCCCUUUGUUGUCCACAGAUUAUGUGCAUAUUAAUGUCGAACUGCCAUGCUUAUAAAACACUAUUGCUUGCUGAACUUUGAAUCCAUGUCAGUCUCAAGAAAAUACUUGCUUUGCAUACCGUUUGAAUAAUCAUGUUCAAAAUAUGAAUGAAAAAAAUAAAAUGUCAAAUAAAGGCAGUUGUCUAUUUAUACUUAAACAGUUGAUUAUGUUGACGAGCAACCGGCUCAUAUCGUCUUUAUAUUAAAAUAACUCUUCCCAGAAAAAAAAACAAAAAAAAAAAAACACAGAAAUUAUAUUACUGUACACACAUUACUUUUGCAGCCUUUGAAAUAAUGAAAUAGUUAAUCAAAAGACAGUUUAAAAUAGUGAGACAGCAGCACAGGUACCACCCAUGAUCCUAAAGGGCUAAAAUAUCAGUAUAAAGACACAGAUUCAUACAAAAUGAAAACAAGUUUUAUUUAAAAAGAUGAUUGAUCUGUCACAGAUUGUCAUCUUUGCAAAAACCACGUCCACUUCAUAUUCAGUCUUUGUACAGAAUGGACACACUGCUAAUGAUAUUUACAUUUCAGGCAACAGUAACAGUCUUUAAAUCCAUCCAUCAAUAUUAGGCACAAGCAUCUAGAAUAAGGUGGUUAAAAUAAUUAUUUCAUAUUUAGAAAAAGACAUACACAGCAUCCGAUCUGUAAACAUUGUUAAUUUAAUGCAGUCACCAAAUAUCCCAAUGGAAAUAUGUUUUUAAGAUGGAAUAAAGGCUUAAAAAGCAGAUCAGGAAGAGACAUUUAAUAAUAAGCCGACAUUGCUCUUAACUACUAAUAAUUUUACAAAUAAGCCAUUGUGUACAUAUAUAAUACAAAAUUAAUUACAAAAAGUGCUAAAAAAUAUACUAAAUUGAUUUAUACCUAAGCAGUCAAGAAAUAUAAUUUAAAAUCAGACAAAUUCAUUAUAAUAAAUCAAAAUAAAUUGACAGGCAGCUUGUCAUAAAUCAGUCUUACGGCACAUUUCUUUGGCUUGUUUUAAAAUAGGCACGAUUAGUGAAAGUUUCAGAGACUAAAUGUGG
rnacentral:lncRNA from 1 species